UUAAGCGACUAAGCGUACACGGUGGAUGCCCUGGCAGUCAGAGGCGAUGAAGGACGUGCUAAUCUGCGAUAAGCGUCGGUGAGGUGAUAUGAACCGUUAUAACCGGCGAUUUCCGAAUGGGGAAACCCAGUGUGAUUCGUCACACUAUCAUUAACUGAAUCCAUAGGUUAAUGAGGCGAACCGGGGGAACUGAAACAUCUAAGUACCCCGAGGAAAAGAAAUCAACCGAGAUUCCCCCAGUAGCGGCGAGCGAACGGGGAGGAGCCCAGAGCCUGAAUCAGUGUGUGUGUUAGUGGAAGCGUCUGGAAAGGCGCGCGAUACAGGGUGACAGCCCCGUACACAAAAAUGCACAUGCUGUGAGCUCGAUGAGUAGGGCGGGACACGUGGUAUCCUGUCUGAAUAUGGGGGGACCAUCCUCCAAGGCUAAAUACUCCUGACUGACCGAUAGUGAACCAGUACCGUGAGGGAAAGGCGAAAAGAACCCCGGCGAGGGGAGUGAAAAAGAACCUGAAACCGUGUACGUACAAGCAGUGGGAGCCUCUUAAUGGGGUGACUGCGUACCUUUUGUAUAAUGGGUCAGCGACUUAUAUUCUGUAGCAAGGUUAACCGAAUAGGGGAGCCGAAGGGAAACCGAGUCUUAACUGGGCGUUAAGUUGCAGGGUAUAGACCCGAAACCCGGUGAUCUAGCCAUGGGCAGGUUGAAGGUUGGGUAACACUAACUGGAGGACCGAACCGACUAAUGUUGAAAAAUUAGCGGAUGACUUGUGGCUGGGGGUGAAAGGCCAAUCAAACCGGGAGAUAGCUGGUUCUCCCCGAAAGCUAUUUAGGUAGCGCCUCGUGAAUUCAUCUCCGGGGGUAGAGCACUGUUUCGGCAAGGGGGUCAUCCCGACUUACCAACCCGAUGCAAACUGCGAAUACCGGAGAAUGUUAUCACGGGAGACACACGGCGGGUGCUAACGUCCGUCGUGAAGAGGGAAACAACCCAGACCGCCAGCUAAGGUCCCAAAGUCAUGGUUAAGUGGGAAACGAUGUGGGAAGGCCCAGACAGCCAGGAUGUUGGCUUAGAAGCAGCCAUCAUUUAAAGAAAGCGUAAUAGCUCACUGGUCGAGUCGGCCUGCGCGGAAGAUGUAACGGGGCUAAACCAUGCACCGAAGCUGCGGCAGCGACACUAUGUGUUGUUGGGUAGGGGAGCGUUCUGUAAGCCUGUGAAGGUGGCCUGUGAGGGUUGCUGGAGGUAUCAGAAGUGCGAAUGCUGACAUAAGUAACGAUAAAGCGGGUGAAAAGCCCGCUCGCCGGAAGACCAAGGGUUCCUGUCCAACGUUAAUCGGGGCAGGGUGAGUCGACCCCUAAGGCGAGGCCGAAAGGCGUAGUCGAUGGGAAACAGGUUAAUAUUCCUGUACUUGGUGUUACUGCGAAGGGGGGACGGAGAAGGCUAUGUUGGCCGGGCGACGGUUGUCCCGGUUUAAGCGUGUAGGCUGGUUUUCCAGGCAAAUCCGGAAAACCAAGGCUGAGGCGUGAUGACGAGGCACUACGGUGCUGAAGUGACAAAUGCCCUGCUUCCAGGAAAAGCCUCUAAGCAUCAGGUAACAUCAAAUCGUACCCCAAACCGACACAGGUGGUCAGGUAGAGAAUACCAAGGCGCUUGAGAGAACUCGGGUGAAGGAACUAGGCAAAAUGGUGCCGUAACUUCGGGAGAAGGCACGCUGAUAUGUAGGUGAAGCGACUUGCUCGUGGAGCUGAAAUCAGUCGAAGAUACCAGCUGGCUGCAACUGUUUAUUAAAAACACAGCACUGUGCAAACACGAAAGUGGACGUAUACGGUGUGACGCCUGCCCGGUGCCGGAAGGUUAAUUGAUGGGGUUAGCGGUAACGCGAAGCUCUUGAUCGAAGCCCCGGUAAACGGCGGCCGUAACUAUAACGGUCCUAAGGUAGCGAAAUUCCUUGUCGGGUAAGUUCCGACCUGCACGAAUGGCGUAAUGAUGGCCAGGCUGUCUCCACCCGAGACUCAGUGAAAUUGAACUCGCUGUGAAGAUGCAGUGUACCCGCGGCAAGACGGAAAGACCCCGUGAACCUUUACUAUAGCUUGACACUGAACAUUGAGCCUUGAUGUGUAGGAUAGGUGGGAGGCUUUGAAGUGUGGACGCCAGUCUGCAUGGAGCCGACCUUGAAAUACCACCCUUUAAUGUUUGAUGUUCUAACGUUGGCCCCUAAUCGGGGUUGCGGACAGUGUCUGGUGGGUAGUUUGACUGGGGCGGUCUCCUCCUAAAGAGUAACGGAGGAGCACGAAGGUUGGCUAAUCCUGGUCGGACAUCAGGAGGUUAGUGCAAUGGCAUAAGCCAGCUUGACUGCGAGCGUGACGGCGCGAGCAGGUGCGAAAGCAGGUCAUAGUGAUCCGGUGGUUCUGAAUGGAAGGGCCAUCGCUCAACGGAUAAAAGGUACUCCGGGGAUAACAGGCUGAUACCGCCCAAGAGUUCAUAUCGACGGCGGUGUUUGGCACCUCGAUGUCGGCUCAUCACAUCCUGGGGCUGAAGUAGGUCCCAAGGGUAUGGCUGUUCGCCAUUUAAAGUGGUACGCGAGCUGGGUUUAGAACGUCGUGAGACAGUUCGGUCCCUAUCUGCCGUGGGCGCUGGAGAACUGAGGGGGGCUGCUCCUAGUACGAGAGGACCGGAGUGGACGUAUCACUGGUGUUCGGGUUGUCAUGCCAAUGGCACUGCCCGGUAGCUAAAUGCGGAAGAGAUAAGUGCUGAAAGCAUCUAAGCACGAAACUUGCCCCGAGAUGAGUUCUCCCUGAGACUUAGAGUCUCCUGAAGGAACGUUGAAGACGACGACGUUGAUAGGCCGGGUGUGUAAGCGCAGCGAUGCGUUGAGCUAACCGGUACUAAUGAACCGUGAGGCUUAACCUU
rnacentral:rRNA from 2 species